CAAAAACAUCGCCUCUUGAUCAAUUAUAAGAGGUCAAGCCUGCCCAGUGACAUUGUUCAACGGCCGCGGUAUCCUAACCGUGCGAAGGUAGCGUAAUCACUUGUCCUUUAAAUAAGGACUAGUAUGAACGGCUUCACGAAGGCUAUACUGUCUCCUUAAUCUAAUCAAUUAAACUAAUCUCCCCGUGAAGAAGCGGGGAUUCAUCUAUAAGACGAGAAGACCCUAUGGAGCUUUAAACAUCUAAGACACUUGAUUUUUACCUACUAAACUUCAUGCAACCUAUCCUUUUGUCUUAAGUUUUAGGUUGGGGUGACCACGGAGAAAAAUUAAACCUCCACGUAGAAAGAAAAUUCUUUUCUAAGCAAAAAGCCACAUCUUAACGCAUCAAUAUAUUGACUUAACUUGACCCA
rnacentral:rRNA from 1 species